CCUGCGAGCGCGGGCUGCAGGAGGGCGAACAUCCCCGCCGGUGCCGCGCGCAGCCGGCCGGCACCCGACUUCUGCUCUGCGCCCCACUGCCGGGUCUUCUGCGAGCGGGGCGGGACCAGGGCGAGGGCGGGAGGCCCCGCCCCGCCCAAAGGCCCCGCCCCGCCUAGACCACUGCUCUUCCCUGGACGCGCCGGCACCCACGGGCGCGACUCGGAGCCUCAGAGACUAGCCUGACACGCCCUCUCGGAGACCCCAGGCCCCAGCCCUCUCGGGAUGCGGCGGCGGCGACCGCAGGACGGUGACAGGACUGCGCUGCUGUCCAAAGGACCCGCUCCUAGAGGGCCGAUCGCCGCGCGGAGCGGCGCGGCAGGUACACCCCAGGGGCUCUGGCCUCAGAGAUGGAGCACAAAACACCCCACAACGACCGAGACUAAGGGACCAAAAAGCCACCAGCAGCAGGCAGAUGGCAUCUCAGGGAGCAGAGCCCAUGGGCCCUUCUCCUCUCUGCUCCAGCCUCUAGCAGUGCAGCUGCCAAGCCCUUUGAAGCCAACAGGAGCUUGUAAAUGUCCUGACUAGAGAUGAAACAUGGUAAGACAUGAAGCCAGAGGCUGCAACACAGAUAAUCUCCACCGUUUUACAAGGAACAAGUCACGCCUAGAGACAGGUGCUGGGGGAGCUGAGGGGCUGGGGCGGAAGGAGAUUAUCAGCAGGUAACCCCCUUCCCAGCAGCCCCUCUCUUGUCUGCUGCCAGAACCUCACCAACCAUCUUCCCUGUGCGUCUUACCCCUAAGCUCUUCUAGCAGAGCCCAGGGCUAGGGGUAGGGUGACAAGUGGCCCUGGGGUUCCUGCCUCCUCCAGGCCAUGGAUACACUCACACAGAUGUGUGGUUUAUUCAUCCUGAGACUAUGUGGCCCCCGCAGAGGGAGCAAGCAGAGGCAGUGCGGUUUUAUGCACAUUCAUCUGGUCCUGCCACAGGCAGCCCCCUUUCAGGGCUCACUCUUUGGGGUAGGGAAAGAGAUGUCGUUGUUCAGUUGCUCAGUCGUGUCCGACUCUUUGUGACCCUGUAGACUGCAGCACGCCAGGCCUCCCUGUCCUUCACUAUCUCCCAGAGUUUGGUCUAGAUUCAUGUCCAUUGAGUAGGUGAUGCCAUCCAACCAUCUUGUCCUCUGUCACCCCCUUCUCCUCCUGCCCUCAAUCUUUCCAAGCUGAAGGUCCAAUACUUUAGCCACCUGAUGAAAACAGCAUCACUGGAAAAGACCCUGAUGCUGGGAGGGAAUGAGAUUCCACCAUUCUAGGGUGGAAUCUGCCUGGUCUAGAGGCCCAGGCACAGGGGGUUUGGGUGCAGAUGGUGUGCGUAAUAUAAACAACACAGUUACGAUAAAUAAAUAACUGUGCUAUCACUUGUGGAGUCA
rnacentral:lncRNA from 1 species